rnacentral:rRNA from 1 species
CAGCGACUUAUAUUCUGUAGCAAGGUUAACCGUAUAGGGGAGCCGAAGGGAAACCGAGUCUUAACCGGGCGUUAAGUUGCAGGGUAUAGACCCGAAACCCGGUGAUCUAGCCAUGGGCAGGUUGAAGGUUGGGUAACACUAACUGGAGGACCGAACCGACUAAUGUUGAAAAAUUAGCGGAUGACCUGUGGCUGGGGGUGAAAGGCCAAUCAAACCGGGAGAUAGCUGGUUCUCCCCGAAAGCUAUUUAGGUAGCGCCUCGUGAAUUCAUCUCCGGGGGUAGAGCACUGUUUCGGCUAGGGGGCCAUCCCGGCUUACCAACCCGAUGCAAACUGCGAAUACCGGAGAAUGUUAUCACGGGAGACACACGGCGGGUGCUAACGUCCGUCGUGAAGAGGGAAACAACCCAGACCGCCAGCUAAGGUCCCAAAGUCAUGGUUAAGUGGGAAACGAUGUGGGAAGGCCCAGACAGCCAGGAUGUUGGCUUAGAAGCAGCCAUCAUUUAAAGAAAGCGUAAUAGCUCACUGGUCGAGUCGGCCUGCGCG